GUGCAAAUGGAAGUGCCUGUCCCCCCUCGGGGUCCCUUCCUAGGCACCCUCAGCCCCAGCAGAGCCAAGUGCUGGUGCUGGUGCCUGGACCCCCUCGGCACCACAGAAGUGUGGGAAGCCUCUGAGGGCCAGGCCCAAGCCCUGGAAUGGGCUGGGUCAUCCUGCCCAGCUGUCCGCCCCUCGGUGGCUCAGGGAGGCACGCCCGGAGGGGAGGGAUCAGUGGGUGCAUAAAUGCAGGGGGUGACUCCCCCUCUUACCUGGUCUCCAUCUGCCCUCAGGUUCUGUAGCAGGCUGAGACUGCACAAGGGAUCUGGGUCUGCAGCAGAGCAGCAAUCUGUGGAUGCCUGAUUGCAGCUGACAGGAGCCUCUCCUCCUUCCCUGGAGUGCUCUGGCAAGUGAGACUUGCAAAUAAAGCAAAGGAUCUGCUGAAUGCACAGCCAUGCAUAAUUUAGGAGUGCUGGAGCCUUCUGCGCAUCUCAUCACAAAAUGGCAUUCAAUUCAGUAGGGAAUAAAUUGCCAGCCAGGCUAACAUAGUGUGCUUGCUUACCUGGCACUGGAGGACAAAGUGACACAUGGUGGCAGCCAGGGUGUGUGUGCCACAGUGCAGUGAUGGAGCAGUGUCUGUGCCCAGCCCUGGCAUGCCCUGUGUCCUGCGUCCUGUGUCCCACUCAGCAGGAGGAGGCACCGUCCUGCCCACGACUGCAGCACCCUGACAACAGGGAUGGACCCCAGAGCGAGCUGCAGCGCCGAGACACGUGGGAGGUGUCGCACACGGUUUGCUCAUCACCCGUUUGCUGCAGAGGCAGCUCGUCGCUUCUCCCUGCAAUGAAAGAGAAGGACAAGGGCACCUCAGAGACAUCAAAGCACAGCAUCCUCUGGGAAAAGGAGAGAUAAAGAGAGAAGAAAAUGUUCCAGAAGUACGGACAAGCAGGAGUUGUGUUCAGCCCCUUUUGGAACAAUAAUCUCCCGAAGGUGUUGGAGCGCUCCAGCAACGCGCAGCGGGAGCAGCCGGGGCUCUGUGCGCAGCGUAAUCUGAUCAUGCUCUGUUUGGAUAAGAAACACAGCUUCAUGCUUUUCACUUGCUAGGAAAGAGAUUUAUUAUGAAAAUCAGCUCCCUGCCUCAGAGCACAUAAAAAACAGUUGGCUUCAUAACCUUGGGGGAAAAAAAUAAAUAAAGAAAUCCCAUGAGACACGCGUGAGAACUGACCCCACUGAUGGUUUAAUGAGGAUGGUGUGUGCCACUCACCUGGAUCAAUAAUUUUUGCACAUUCCUGCCAAGCUCCCACCACAGGCCCUGUCUCAGCCCAGCAAAGAAGACCUUGCCAUGUUUCAGGUGCACCAGAUUUUUCCUUCUUCUCCUCUUAAAGUGCAUAUGUAAUAAAUAUAGCACAGGCCUAGGAGGAUGAAAAGAGAUGAAUCACAGCUAUGAAAAUAUUUGACUAUAUUUUAAGCAGGACUCCCAACAGGUACAAUCAUAGCCAUCUACCCUGACGUGCUUCAGAGGCAUCAAAAGAUGGUUUUUCCACCACUG